CCUGAACUCCUGGUUUCAAGCAGUCUUUCCACCUGGCCUCCCAAAGUGCUAGGAUGACAGGUAUGAGCCACUGCCCGUGGCCCACUCAGCCAUCGUACUCCAAUGGACAACUUUCAUGUCACCAGCUGGGUCCUAUGCACUGAAGAUACCUAGGAGCCAGAAAUAACAGUGAUGAGGGGCUCAGAGGGGCACCCCCAACACUUAAUUAAGCCUCGAUCUUCAGGCAAGAAAGUCUGUGAUAUGAAUGAAGGGGGUACAGAAGCCCAACAACAAUCAUCGAAUGAGCUUGGAAGUGGAUCCUCUCACUCCAGUCAAGCCUUCUGAUGACUGCAGCCCUGGCUGAUGCUUGACUACAGCUUCAUUAGAAAUCCUCAUGAAGAUCCAGCACCUUCCAGUUAGCCCAUCUGUGGGUUCUUGACCUUCAGAAAUUCUAUGAAAUAAUAAAUAUUUGUUAUUUUAAGUUGCUAAACUUUGUGGAAAUGUG